rnacentral:rRNA from 1 species
UAAAAAGCUCGUAGUUGGAUCUCGAUCCAAAUUGAAUGGGUCCACCUCACGGUGGUUACUCUUCAAUUGGAUUCACUCUUGAUGGAUAGAAUCGAAAGGUUCGUUGUCUCUUGAUUCUCUUAACCGAGUGUCUCGAGCAAUCCAUCUGUUUACUUUGAACAAAUUAGAGUGCUCAAAGCAGGCUUUUCCCUUAAAGAAAAGCUUGAAUAAUCUUGCAUGGAAUAAUAGAAUAGGACUUUGUUUCUAUUCUGUUGGUCUUCGGUAACAAAGUAAUGAUUAAGAGGGACAGACGGGGGCAUUAGUAUUGCGGCGCUAGAGGUGAAAUUCUUGGACCGUCGCAAGACUAACAACAGCGAAAGCAUUUGCCAAGAAUGUUUUCAUUAAUCAAGAACGAAAGUUAGAGGUUCGAAGGCGAUCAGAUACCGCCCUAGUUCUAACCAUAAACGAUGCUAACCAGCGAUGAGACUGAGUACUUUCAAGGACUCGUCUCGGAACUUCUCUCGGGAAACCAAAGUCUUUGGGUUCCGGGG